GACGAACGCUGGCGGCAAGCUUAACACAUGCAAGUCGAACGCCGUAGCAAUACGGAGUGGCAGACGGGUGAGUAACACGUGGGAACGUGCCUUUCGGUUCGGAACAACUGAGGGAAACUUCAGCUAAAACCGGAUACGCCCUUCGGGGGAAAGUUUACGCCGAAAGUUCGGCCCGCGUCAGAUUAGGUAGUUGGCGGGGUAAUGGCCCACCAAGCCGAUGAUCUGUGGCUGUUCUGAGAGGAAGAUCAGCCACACUGGGACUGAGACACGGCCCAGACUCCUACGGGAGGCAGCAGUGGGGAAUAUUGGACAAUGGGCGCAAGCCUGAUCCAGCUAUGCCGCGUGGAUGAAGAAGGCCUUCGGGUUGUAAAGUCCUUUCGGCGGGGAAGAUAAUGACGGUACCCGCAGAAGAAGCCCCGGCUAAUUUCGUGCCAGCCGCCGCAGUAACAC
rnacentral:rRNA from 1 species